rnacentral:rRNA from 1 species
AUUAAACGCUGGCGGCAUGCCUUACACAUGCAAGUCGAACGGCAGCACGGGGGCAACCCUGGUGGCGAGUGGCGAACGGGUGAGUAGAGCAUCGGAACGUGCCCUGGAAUGGGGGAUAACGUAGCGAAAGUUACGCUAAUACCGCAUAUUCUGUGAGCAGGAAAGCAGGGGAUCGCAAGACCUUGCGUUCUGGGAGCGGCCGAUGUCGGAUUAGCUAGUUGGUGGGGUAAAGGCCUACCAAGGCGACGAUCCGUAGCGGGUCUGAGGGGAUGAUCCGCCACACUGGGACUGAGACACGGCCCAGACUCCUACGGGGAGC